GACGAACGCUGGCGGCGUGCUUAACACAUGCAAGUCGAACGAAGAGCGAUGGAAGCUUGCUUCUAUCAAUCUUAGUGGCGAACGGGUGAGUAACGCGUAAUCAACCUGCCCUUCAGAGGGGGACAACAGUUGGAAACGACUGCUAAUACCGCAUACGAUCUAAUCUCGGCAUCGAGGAUAGAUGAAAGGUGGCCUCUACAUGUAAGCUAUCACUGAAGGAGGGGAUUGCGUCUGAUUAGCUAGUUGGAGGGGUAACGGCCCACCAAGGCGAUGAUCAGUAGCCGGUCUGAGAGGAUGAACGGCCACAUUGGGACUGAGACACGGCCCAGACUCCUACGGGAGGCAGCAGUGGGGAAUCUUCCGCAAUGGACGAAAGUCUGACGGAGCAACGCCGCGUGAGUGAUGACGGCCUUCGGGUUGUAAAGCUCUGUUAAUCGGGACGAAAGGCCUUCUUUGCGAAUAGUGAGAAGGAUUGACGGUACCCGAAAUAGAAAGC
rnacentral:rRNA from 1 species